UACAGAGGGUGCGAGCGUUGUCCGGAAUCACUGGGCGUAAAGGGCGCGUAGGCGGUCUCUUAAGCGUGUGGUGAAAGCCCGGGGCUCAACUCCGGGUCGGCCGUGCGAACUGGGGGACUGGAGCUUGUCAGAGGCAGGCGGAAUUCCGGGUGUGAGCGGUGGAAUGCGUAGAGAUCCGGAAGAACACCGGUGGCGAAGGCGGCCUGCUGGGACAGUGCUGACGCUGAGGCGCGACAGCGUGGGGAGCAAACAGG
rnacentral:rRNA from 1 species